GAAACUGAGGCGGCGAGGGAGCCGGGAACUGAAACCCCUGGCCCCAUGUCGUCGGUCGUCGGGAGGGCCAGAGGCGAAGCGAGGAUGGGUUCCAAGGCCAAGAAGCGAGUGGUGCUGCCCACGCGCCCGGCGCCCCCUACGGUGGAGCAGAUCCUGGAGGACGUGCAGGGUGCGCCCUCCGACGACCCGGUUUUCACCGCGCUGGCCCCGGAAGACGCCCCAGGCCUCCCCGGGAGGGUGGAGGACUCCGAGGCCCGGCAGGAGCAGCUCUACCAGCAGAGCCAGGCCUACGUGGCCAUGAAUCAGCGGCUGCAGCAGGCGGGCGACGGGCUGAAGCGCAAGUGCGAGGAGCUGCGGCGAGCGGGGGAGGAGCUGGAGCGCGAGGUCGGCCAGGUGAAGCAGGUGGCGCUGCCGGGAGCCGUGGCUGCCUCCUUGGGCUGAGUGGUCCACGCGCUUGCCCGAGCACCUGCAUCCUGGGCAGGGCGCGCCCCGGCUCCCCGUGACUCCUGACCUGCCACAGCUUAGACCCCCGGCUCCCGUGGUCUGGGUGUGUCCCGGUACCCAGAGAGCCCCGGGGACACAGCUGGGCAUGGGCCCCUCCCUGGGGGUCAGGCCUGGGGCGGUGAGGAUGCUGCUCACCCCGGGGCCAUGGAGCCCAGACUGGACUUCGCAUGGGGCCCCGCACCCAAGGCCAGGCCAUCCACCCUCCUCUCCCUCCCUCUGGGGUCCCAGCUCCCUGUAGACUGAGCUGGUGGGACCCGCUCUGCCGCCUCUGCCAUCUCCACCCGAACCGCAGGGCCCCCCGGAUUCUGGAAGAGGCCGGGGUUAGGGUUCUGUUCUGUCCAGCACAGUGGCCGCGGCUGUGCGCGGAGCCCUUGCCCGGCAGGGCCCAGUUGUGAGAUGGAGCCUCUGGUGGGUGCCGGCCCUGAGGACCCUGAGCUAAGGUGUGGGCGCUCCCGCGGGCCAGGGUCCCGGUUGGGGUGCGGGACCGGCCUGGGCGCUGCGGGACUGCAUCACACGGGGCUUCUGGCCUGGGCCCCGUGAGGACAGGCUGGCCCGUCUCCCAUGCAAGCCCUCGAUGGCUGCUUCCGUCCUGACAGACUUCCGGGAGACCAGAGCAGCAGUGGCUGUGCAAGGCACCACAGAAGCCGUCCGCUUGUGGGUG